rnacentral:misc_RNA from 1 species
CUGUCUCAUAAUCACCACCAAUCGUUUUCGAGCGCACUGCUCACGCUCGGCUGCGACCCCGCCCCCUCCGUUACCGCGUCGAACAACAGCAAAAAAAAAAGAGAAUACGCCUGGGACGGUUCAGCUGUGUUUCUCAGCAUCAACAGUCGCGUCUUGCGUUCUCCCUUUAGCACGAUUGUCUCUCGUUUUUCCCCUUUCGUCGCCGCGAUGAGUGACCGUGACGUACCGGCCUCGAUGACGAGGACCUGCGCGCCGGAUGAGGUUCACUUCCUCUUCUGCUCCACCGACGCACGGGAUGCGGCUCCUGCUAGCACCGGUGAUGUCGCGAAGCUGCCCGCGCCAAAGAAGCCCAUUUCGGCCCCGCUCGCGUCUUUUCACUCUCUGGUGGACACGCACCGUGGUCGUCGUGCUAGCCGCCACGCGUCACCGCCGCGCCAGCUGGGACGCCCGCUUCCGCCGACGCAGCCGAGCUUCAGCGAUGUGGCAAAGCGUGUGGGCUCUUUCAACGACAUGUGCGAGGCGAACUCGCUGUUGAGCUCCCACAUGCGCUUAGGCGAGAUGUCCACUCUGGGCAUCUCGGCAAGCACCUCCACCAUGCCCGCUGGCUGCAGUGUCAGCACCACCUCACUCCACUGGCUUCGCAUCGCAGAAGAUCGAGUCAUGCCACAUCCGAGCAGCACCAAGCCAGCGCCGGCGGCUCUGCAGCGAAAUGCGGAGUAUGUGCUCGAGCGGUGGGUGGAGCAGAAGGUGCAUCGCACCGCCGCCAUGGAUGACGCCAUGCUGAAGGUGGCUGCCGCUUUUGAUGAGCUAUACGCCUAAGACGCACCGAAACGAAUAAGGCUGAUACGGAAAGCCCAAUGUCUGUGUUUUUUUUUUUACUUUGCGCAUGUGUGCGUGUGUGUGUGUGUAUCCUCCUGGCGAUGUCAUUUUUUGUUAAUGUGCCGCAUCUUUUUGUUGUGUUCUCCUUUUCGUCGCGCUCUGCGCUUGCUGGGCCUGCCUUUCCAUAUGUCGCCUCAGUAUGUUUGCGCAGUGCUUUCAUGGACCUUGUCUACGCGUGCUCCCUCUCCUGCAUCUUUGUUUUUGGACCUUGCUUCGCUCUCUUGUCGUUGUUGCAGUGCCAAGACUGUCUUCGUUCUACCCUUUGCCAACGCUCUGGCGCCAAACUUCAUGCUGCAGAGGGAGGUGGUCGCCAACGGCCCGCUUCCGCUCUCGCCGCGCUCCUCACUUGUUUCCAUUUUCGCCAUCGGAGAGACCAUACAUAGCUAUAUACGCCAAUGACGCAAAGCCCCCUUUCGCACAACUUCCCCGGCAAGCGAGAUUUCUCCCCGCCUUCCUUCGUCGCUGCCUGGAACUUCGUCUUCUUUGUUUUUGCUUGUUCCGCUCCCCUUUUUGGUGCUCUCGUUUCCCGCUAUUCCUUUUUUGGUGCUUCAGCCACUGAAACACACACACACACACACACGCAAGUGAGACCCUCUGCCGCCCCUCCCCCUCCCCUGCCCCUCUUUUCCCUCCUCAUCGCUUCCGUGGUACUCCGCAUUCCGCCAAGGCAACCGGAGGCCAUUAUGCCGCGUCUCUCGCCUUCUAUUUCUUUCUGCAGCUCACGUCGGUACUCUUUGCCUGUAAGCAUGUCGUUUGCGAUGCACACACACACACACGCACAUGCACGUGUGUAUAUCUCUAUAUAUAUGCAAAUGUAUACAUAUAUCUCUAUAUAUCUGUAUACAUAUCGAUAUAUCUAUAUCUUCAUCAUCGUUGAUGUCAUACGAUUUCGUGGGUUAAUCGGUCAGUGACGCACCCCUACCCUGUGCCUUCUUUUAUUUGUGCAUCGCCUUUGCGUGUCUUCCGGCUUCGGGCGCCACACGUCUCGGCCUGCACCCCGCGUGCUCUGCGCACUACUUUGACUGUGCAGUGUGUGUGUGUGUGUGUGUGUGCUUUGGUUCUCUUGUGAUGAGCGACGGAUUGUCUUUUUUGGGGGGUUUCGGCUCUCUGGCGCACAACGCCAUGAAUGCUUGCCGAGUGAUGCCUCUGUAGUAGUAUUCUUUCGUCUUGCCUGACACGUCUGCCGGCGUGCGUGCUUCGAUAGAGUUGUGCGUGAGCGAUGCGUUUGCCUUGCGACAGGCGUGUGGACACGAUGAGCGAAAGAGACCCGCGCGCCGCUGUUUGGGAGGAGAGGGAGGCGGCGAAAGGCCAAAGUAUCCCUUUUUUAUCUCUGGCGUGGCGCAUUCUGUUGUCAUGGAGUAGGUGCCUCUUUGCAUGCCUCACCUGCGCAUGCCUUCAUGAGCCAUCCAGCACUCUCACUCCGUUACCCACUUCCUUUUCCUACCUCUCAUCAGCACUCCGUCGUUCAUUCUGUGAAUUGUAGUUGUCUGAUUCUUCUAGCGCCGCCGUUCACUUUCUCUGGCUUCUGUAUGUAGUACUAGCUUCUCUCUCUUGUAGGCUUGAUAUGUUUAUUCCUCUCCCUCAGCAUGGUGUGCGUGUUGCGUUGUGCCCUCACCGCUCACAGCGCAGACUCUCGCACCUGAUGCUUCGAUCGACCGUUUCUUCUUUUGUUUUUGCUUUUGUUUGAUUGUUCCGUUAUGAGCUCGUGACCCCGCCUCCAACAAUUUUUCGUUUUCUUGUCUGUUUUGUAUAGCUCGAUGUCGUCCCUUGUAUCGCUUCGCUUGUUUCGGCUUCCGCCUCCUCUCUGUCUCGCGCUAGCUUUCUUUCUUGGAUACCGUUGCUGUCAGUCGACGGCAAUGCAGCGACUCACUUCGAUACACAUAAACGAGUCGCUGUCGCCUGCCCCUCCAUCCCUCCUCCCUCCCCGCUUUCCGCCUCUGCUAUCGCAUUUCUAUACCCAGCGAUGUCUUUUUGGUUCAGCUCGUAUCCGCUUCCCCCUCCCCUACUCCGUGAGUGGCCGUGUCGCCCGCCUUUCGUUUUUUUCUUUUGUUCAACUCGCUCUGCGUUUCAUUUCAGGCAUCUAGUAGAAAGAUGAACAGUCACACUGUCCUGAGUCGCGUGGGCAUGUGCGCGUUGAGGCCCUCUUGCUCUCCCCCUCCCCCCUCUGCGAAGUGUCUGCCCUGCGAAGUACGUUCUUGCGCUCUGUUUUGCCGCAGAGCAUUCGUUUUGUGUAUUCACUCGCUCGUACGUGUUGCCUAGGAUAGAAGCUCUCUCCAUAUCGCACCCUUCGUCGUGGUCUGCCCGCAAGUGAUUGCUGUCUUUCAUUGCCCCCCCCCCCACCCCGCGUCGUUUCACCUUUCCUCUUCCUCUAUUUUUUUUUGUUUUCCUCCUCUUCGUUGCGUGCGCGGUUGUCUGUGUAUGUUUUCUGGACUGUUGAGCCAGUUCGUUCCGUCACUGCUCCUCGUUUCCAUCCUGCCCCACACCUCCCACUGCUCUUGCGCGCACCGCCUUCUACGUUGCGUUCUCGUUUUCUUUUUUUUCUCUGUUCAGCUGCGUCGUGCGUGUAUACACACGAAGCGAGCAGAGUGGAGGGAAUGUGAAAAGGGGCAUCAUGGAUGCCGAUCUGAGCCUCUCCCUGCUCUUUGCCGACACCGUGAAUGCUUCGUUGCAACCAGCGGUGCCUGAAUUACUAUCACUGUAUGACGCCGGUGUACACAUCAAGCUGGAAAACAUCAGUGUCGUUUCGCUUGCCGUGAGUAUGACUGACCGUGCCAUGCUGCGUGCAUCCGAGUGGCUGGAGAGAUGCGCAAGGGCCGAGCGGGUAGCGAUCACUUUUAUUUUUGGUUUCCCCUCGCUGUACGUUUUUUUGUGUUUGUUUGUUUCCUCCCGUCUCCAUCCGUGGUCUGGAAUUCUGCGCUCUGGCGGCAGCCGUUUUCCGUGGCACUUCUUCGUCACCUUUGGUUGUUCGUUCGCUUGCUUUCCUCUGUUAUGUGUUUCUUUUUCGGCUUUCUUCUCUUGUUCGCUGUGUUUUCCUAUCUUAGACAGACGUGGGAACAUAGUUGGGCACGAGAGGAGGGGGGGCAGCUGCGUGGUUGCGUUACCAACGCGCUCCGUCAGCAGGCGCCUCCGUUAUGUUUCGGAGGAUGUGCCGCUUAUUUCCUUGAUUUUUCACAGCCGUUUCUGCUUUGGGAGACGCAAAAACGGCUUACGCAUCACCUGCUCAACAUCAGUUUUUCCCCUAUCGCCCUCCGUGUCUCCUUUAGGCGUUGUCUGGGGGAGAGGGGGCUCACAAUGACGGCAUAGCGACGGCGACUUCACACAUGUGUUCCGCACUGCAGGGGAGCAGCAGUAUGCCUCGCUUAUGUUGGUGUCGACGGUUUUUUUCUGUUUUUUUUUUUGCUUUCCUGUUCUUUCCGUCUAUAGCUCGCUCUGUGUGUGUGUGUGUGUUGGGGGGGGCACUUGGGCGUAUGUGCACGUGGGACACUUCUCGGCAAUCAUUCACAAAAAAAAAAUAAACGAAAUAAAUCUCCGCUGGUGCGGUGCGGGCAAGCGGACGGAUCCUCAACGUGACGCGUCAACAGAGCUGAAUGCUGCAAACUCAUCCGCGUGACCAAAGUUUGAAAAAAUAAAACGAAAAGGCUGGUCUUUGCCGUUGAUGGGGGCCUCAGUGGGCACUCCCAACCGAAAGAGGCCGUGGGGUGAAUAAGUUGUGCCUCACAGAGAUGGAAAGAAAAGGAAGCAUAAUCGAAUGGCGUCGUCUGGCCUCACGAACAAGAGAAUCAGGAAGAAGUGACGGCGAUACCAACACGUCUGAAGCAGCUGUGCGGCUCCUAUCAUCUACGCGAUGCAGCCAGAACAGUUGGUAACGGUGUAGGGUCUCUGAAGACAGCCGCCCUUUAGGCGCACAUCCAGACUUGCUCUCCAUCACGGGCACAUGAUCACGCAAGUAACCCUCCUCUCCAAAGAAAAUAAACUCGUAAAGCCCGACUCCAAAGGAAACAGAAAAGAAAACAAAGAGCAAGCAGAACCCGUUGGAAAAGGUGCGAUGUUUGGCCGCCGACGUUCUUGCAGCUCCUUUCUUCAUGAGGACGCAUCGAAGCGAGAUAGCGGUGUCGGUGCGUGUGUUUGUGUCUUCCAUUCUUCCGGUUGUACGUUGUUCGCCUUCG